rnacentral:lncRNA from 1 species
CGGAGGAGGACGAGUCUUUAAUUCAUUUAAUGAGCAAAGAGGCAACCAGUCCAAUACAAGGUCUCAACACAAAGUCUCUCUCUCCCCAGAGGGUGCAGUCCUUUUAAGUGCAAGGACAACAGUGCGGUUGUUCCAGGAGUCCAAGGCUGCCUGCCUGUCCCGUUAUUCUUCUGGACGGCUCCUGGUGGAAGGUUCUCCGGCCUCUUCCACACUGUGGCCAUUCUCCCAGAUCUGGGCCACUUGCACCCACCAGGAGCGACGCCUCAACGCCUUCCACAUGGACUGCAUCAGGAGCGGCACUUUUCUCUUUUAUGAACCUCUUCCCACUCCCACGGGAAACCCCCUCAAAGGAAAUGCACCAUUCAACCUCUCUUUUUCUCUUAAAAUUCCUAUUUUGUUGUCAAUUUUCAGUAGAGAAAUGAAGUGAAAAAGGUGGCGAAAGGUCAAACCAAAGGAAACUGCUUGAAACUGUGAUACAAUACAAUAUGUAGGUAUAUACGUAAGUAGUACGAUAUAGUAAUGAGUAAAAUAUUACAGUGGUACCUCAGGUUACAUACGCUUCAGGUUACAGACUCCACUAACCCAGAAAUCGUGCUUCAGGUUAAGAACUUUGCUUCAGGAUGAGAACAGAAAUCAUGCUCUGAUGGCACGGCAGCAGCGGGAGGCCCCAUUAGCUAAAGUGGUGCUUCAGGUUAAGAACAGUUUCAGGUUAAGCACGGACCUCCGAAACGAAUUAAGUACUUCACCUGAGGUACCACUGGAUUAACAAAUCAUUGUUUUUAUAAAUGUAUUCUAUUUCUCCACAAUCUACACUCCUAUGUUGCAAGAGCAGUCCUAUCUUGUAUCCAUCGUUCAAAGGGGACCAUGGCAUUAUCUUUCCAAUGAAUCAAUAUCAGUUGUUUAGCAGAAGGAAGGAUGCAAAGAGUACAUUUACAUUAACCCGUUGUCAAUGCAUAUAAAGUUGGUAUGUAGUUCGUAUGCACCUUAAUACUUUCCUCCAAAAAUGUGCAAGCUUCGGGCAUCCCAUGAACAUAUGUUUCUUUCUUUAAUUUUUUUAUUCAUUUUUCAUUUUCAUUCAUUACAUACAUCUCAAAUUCUUAACAUUUCCUAUAUAUUCCUCCCUCCCCUCCAAGACUUCCCUCAACUUGCAUUUCUGGUUUGUUUCUAUUUUCACCCACUUUGCUAUUUCUCAACAGAAAAAGUUAUUAAUAACAUAACAUCAAACCUUAAAAACAUAAAAUUAAAAUUAAAUACAUCAGCUUAUUUCACUAUCUUCCAAACAUUUUCUGAUGCUAAUAAUGUGGAUGUUUAUUUAAAUCCUGCCAUCAAGUCUAUUGCCUUUCUUUGUUUCUGCAGAUAUAUUAUGAAUGGUUCCCAAUCUUUUUCAAAGUCUCUGUUGUCUUUUUCUCUUAGUCUUUCUGUCAUUUUUGCCCGUUCUGCAUAGUUCAUCAACUUCUCUUGCCAUUGUUCUUUAGUUGGUAUUUCUCCAGUCUUCCAAUUUUGUGCAAUCAACAUUCUUGUUGCUGUAGUGGCAUACAUAAAUAAAGUCCUCAUUUCUUUUGGUAUGUUAUUAGGUAACAUACCAUUUCUUUUGGUAUGUUAUUAGGUAACAUACCUAAUAAAAAGGCUUCUGGUUUUUUUACAAAAGUUAUUUUUAACAUUUUCUUCAAUUCAUUGUAUAUCAUUUCCCAGUAGGAUUUUACCUUCUUACAAUCCCACCACAUAUGAUAGAACGUACCUUCUGUUUCACAUCUCCAACACUUUUUCUUUUCGUUUUUAUACAUUUUUGCCAAUUUAACUGGUGAUAAAUACCAUCCGGACAUCAUUUUCAUAUAAUUCUCUCUCAAUAAUAUGCAAUCUGUAAAUUUCAAAUUUAUUUUCUACAAUUUUAUCAUUCAUGAA